AAAGACACAAACUUCCUGGAGAAGCACAUCUGUCAACCCUGCAGCCAUGCACAGCACACUGCAGCCCUCAUCCCGCAGACGAAUGGAGAAGGUUAUUAGAAAAGACAGCCGUCAAAGCCUGAUCAAAGCUCCUCUGAUCCGAGAGCUGCGCUGACCGUUCGGGAGGAAAACAAUCAUGCAGCCCUUUUUGGGGUCUGGGAAAGGAAAGCGUUUGGUUUUGCGCGUUACAUUCUUUACAGUAAUGAAACAUGUUGAUCCACUGACAGCCAGUCGUUGAGCGGUGAUUUAUGCUGCUGGCUGAGGAGGCACGGAGACGUGCACUCUUCCAGAUGGCGACAGCUCGCCACUGCCACUGGAGCCUUCACUCCAGCUGCUCCCCUCUGAGUCAUAGCACACCAACUUUUUGGCAGGUGUGAGCUGCCUCGGCCUUGGACAUAUUUGUGCGCGGAGAAUAAAUCUGCAGAAUCGAAAAAAGGAAAAAAUGUAAUAUGGCCUCCUCAGGUGUUUACUGUCAAAUGACUCAAUCCAGAGCUCGGUCACAUGCUCGCCUCUUCUUUUAGCAGAUCCUCACGCUGCAGCAAAACCUUAAAAGGGAUCGUUCAGCUGGCGCUGCCUGCCACCCACUCGUGCCAUGCUGACAUUUGAGAGGAACUCUGAGCUUAUUGAAAAGAAGAGGAAGAGGGAUGUGGUAGAGGAAGAGGAGAUAUGCCGACUGACUUUCAGGAAAAGCCCUUAUCACAGCCCCAGACGUCAGAGCGAAAGCGGGGGAAUCCAAGAGGCUGACUCAUCCGGCGGAGGGAGAAAAGAUGCCGUUUCUGGAUUAACAAGGGGGAGGACAGGAAGGGGGAGCCAAUUUGGAAGUAUCGCCCUGACGGGAGAGACUGUCAGCCCGUAGCUGC
rnacentral:lncRNA from 1 species